rnacentral:lncRNA from 1 species
CCUUGUCUGAAACAAGUUUUGCACAUCAAUAAGAUUUUCACUUAAUUUAUAAACAUUUGAAAAUUUUGACUUUUUUUUCAAAAACAGAUUACAAUAAAUAGAUCUAUAACAACAAAUAUUGCUUUUAAUUUUACAUAUGUUUCUCUUUGAUAAUACAACACUGCUUUGAGCUCAUUCAGAUACAUAAAGAUGGUUACAUUUAUACCUCCAAAUACACACAUUUACACUCAACUCAUUCACACACACUUUUCCAAACAUUCACUACUGCUUACAUGUUCAUAAUACAUGUAUUUUGUAUACACCAUUUCAUUGUUUCUCCAGUUCUACAUUUAUGAUAAAAAUAAGGGCCUCUUAUUAAUAUAAGUUUGUCUACUUGUAAUCAUGGUUGGUUACUCAUUUUAACGGAAUGUGUUAUUUUGCCAUACAGUGUAUUGUGGAAAUAAAAGGGUCUAAAACACUGGUUGAUUAUUCUAUAAGUAAAAUGAUGUGUUCCUUGGUUUAAAUAUUUUCUUUUUUUGGAAAAUAUACUUGGUGCUACCAUAUUUUAUAAAUUAAUUCCUUUUUUGAACAUUUUGAUUGAUUGUCCACAUAUUGUUGUAAUCUACUAAACUAUUAUUCACAACUGACUAAUUUUUUGCAAGAAAAAUUAUGCAAAUAUAAAUAUUGGCAAAUAUGUCAAACUUGGAGUUUUUAAUUGGCCACACUAACAAGUUUAGAAAACUGUGGAUGUAAAUUGCAGCAUAAUUGGCUUAAAAGGGCCAAAAGUUUUACUGGAAAAACUUGAA